rnacentral:rRNA from 1 species
GACGAACGCUGGCGGCGUGCCUAAUACAUGCCAGUUGAGCGCUGAAGGUUGGUACUUGUACCAACUGGAUGAGCAGCGAACGGGUGAGUAACGCGUGGGGAAUCUGCCUUUGAGCGGGGGACAACAUUUGGAAACGAAUGCUAAUACCGCAUAAAAACUUUAAACACAAGUUUUAAGUUUGAAAGAUGCAAUUGCAUCACUCAAAGAUGAUCCCGCGUUGUAAUAGCUAGUUGGUGAGGUAAAGGCUCACCAAGGCGAUGAUACAUAGCCGACCUGAGAGGGUGGUCGGCCACAUUGGGACUGAGACACGGCCCAAACUCCUACGGGGGGCAGCAGUAGGGGAUCUUCGGCAAUGGACGAAAGUCUGACCGGGCAACGCCGCGUGAGUGAAGAAGGUUUUCGGAUCGUAAAACUCUGUUGGUAGAGAAGAACGUUGGUGGGAGUGGAAAGCUCAUCAAGUGACGGUAACUACCCAGAAAGGGACGGCUAACUACGUG